GGAGGAUCAAAUCUUGGACAAACAUUAAAAGACCUAAUAGAAUCUCUGACCUCUCUGAAAAUAUAUAGAGAGAACGGCGCAUAUGGAAUUUGGGGGCUUAUCUCCAUUUUUACCCUAACCAAGAAUAGACCUUGAGAUCCUUCAUUUUCUUAACCGAGAGACCCCUCCGAUUCCAACAAAACAGAGCGCCGUCCCUUCGUCUUCUCCGUCUUCUUCACUCUCUCUAAUGGCUGUCACCGCCGGCUCAGGUCACUGACCAUCGACGACCACACUGCCUCUCUUGCUCACCUCACUCAUCUACUCUUUCAUCUUGACACACACGGGAAACCUCACGAAAUAGAUGAGGAAUUUCUGAGUCCAAAUGGUCGGAUCUCACAUCUGGAAAAGAAAGUUGUUUGGUUUGUUUGUCACGGAAAUUAGGAUUUUUGGGUGUCUGAGUGCGAUUUUGAUUUUCUGAAAUGGAAGACUUAUGAUGAAUAAGUUUGACGAUUUACCCAGUCAAGAAGAUCUGAAAACAAAAAUACAAAAACAAUAACAGAAGAACUUCAAGAAUUUUGAAAACAAAACAAAAAAAAGGGAAAGGGGAAUUUCGAAAUUGUUUCAAUCCUCAUCCAUCUGGUACACAUAUUCUGGGUCUUACAAGGGCUGCUUGGAAUUAGAAGUUGCUGGCUAUUACUGUUUGUUGCUAUAUUGUUCAACUAGUAGCUGAGCUCAACCUAUGGCUGUGCUUUUUCAGCCUUUGUUUGUCUAUUUAGAACCCUAUUACUGCUUUUAAGGUACUGUUCCCCCUUCUUGAUCAUGUAGUUCUCUUUUUGAUCAAUGAAAACAUGCCUACUAUGCCAUGUCAGUGUAUAAUUAUGCCAUAUACCUGCUAUAAUUGUUAAAUUCUGGCUAUUUGUGAUUCAAAUGACAAAUCUGGUCCAUAAAGAAUCUGACCUUUUUUUUUAAAAUCUAUUUUAUGUAAUUUCUGAUAUUAAGACUUGAUUAAGUUAGAGUAUGACAUAAAAAUCAGUUGGCUCUUAUGGUUCUGGAAAUGAAUUAUGGGAAAAAAAUCAGUUCAGUUGUGUAGAUGUUUAUCUUGUUGAAAUAUUGUAAUGUUGUCCUAGUGUGUUUAAAACCAUCGAUUGGAUAUGCUGUUCUCUCCUUUCUUCCUUGUUUGAGAAUAGAACUGGAUUCUCACCUAUAUUCUUUAUGUGAUAUGUUCUAGAUGAUAGAUAUUGGUUGAGAAGCAUGUGUGAGCCGAGAAAUGGAGUCUUGUAUAAUUAUAAUUCCACAAUAGGAGGAGAUGACAUGUAAUAGCUUAGUUUUUCGGAUAGAAAAGUAUAAAUUUAACUGUCAUUUGGAUUUGGCUGUGAUUUAGAAAAAUAAUUUAUUGACU
rnacentral:lncRNA from 1 species